ACGCGAAGAACCUUACCUGGACUCGAAAUUUUGUUGACCGUCUCAGAGAUGAGACUUUCCCGCAAGGGACAGCAGAAUAGGUGCUGCAUGGCUGUCGUCAGCUCGUGUCGUGAGAUGUUGGGUUAAGUCCCGCAACGAGCGCAACCCUUACCCUUAGUUGCUAAUCCGCAAGGAAAGCACCCUAAGGGAACUGCCUCGGAUAACGAGGAGGAAGGUGGGGAUGACGUCAAGUCCUCAUGGCCUUUAUGCCCAGGGCUACACACGUGCUACAAUGGCCGGUACAAAACGUCGCAAACCCGCGAGGGGGAGCCAAUCGCCAAAAACCGGUCUCAGUUCGGAUUGCAGGCUGCAACUCGCCUGCAUGAAGCUGGAAUCGCUAGUAAUCGCGUAUCAGAACGACGCGGUGAAUACGUUCCCGGGCCUUGUA
rnacentral:rRNA from 1 species